rnacentral:tRNA from 1 species
GCCUGGGUGGCGAAAUUGGUAGACGCAGCGGAUUCAAAAUCCGCCGAUGGCAACAUUGUGUCGGUUCGAGUCCGACCCCAGGCACCA